UACGGGGGGUGCAAGCGUUGUUCGGAAUCACUGGGCGUAAAGCGCGUGUAGGCGGAGUGGUAAGUCAGGAGUGAAAGCCCAGGGCUCAACCCUGGAACUGCUUUUGAAACUGCCAUUCUAGAGUACGGUAGAGGGAAGGGGAAUUCCCGGUGUAGAGGUGAAAUUCGUAGAUAUCGGGAGGAAUACCAGUGGCGAAGGCGCCUUCCUGGGCCGAUACUGACGCUGAGACGCGAAAGCGUGGGGAGCAAACAGG
rnacentral:rRNA from 1 species